rnacentral:misc_RNA from 1 species
AAGUCGUAACAAGGUUUCCGUAGGUGAACCUGCGGAAGGAUCAUUAACAUUAAACCCCCCUUUGCUCUCUUAACUGACGGAAUUGCAAUCCCUGGUAAAUCAUUGUUGAACAGAUUUUGAUUCAGGGACCUCAGUUUAGCAGUUAGGAUUGAGCGAUCGUUGCAAGUGGCCUGGUUUCCCCAAGCAGUCAGUGUCUGAAAGUGGCAUUGAUUGUGUAAGGAUAACGCUUUUCGAUCACUAGAGGCCGACACCGGCCGGUGACCAGGUCGCCGUGGCUUCGGCCCCCUAUAUUAACCCCACUACCUGAUUCCGCCUCGUAGGAAACUGCUGGGCAACAAAACGAACAACUGUUAACAAUGGAUAUCUUGGUUCUC